rnacentral:tRNA from 1 species
CAGAAAGUAGUUUAAGAAAAAUCUAGGUUUUGGAAAUCUAGGAUGCCUUUAUUGGUCUUUCUGA